AACGAACGCCAUCUUGUCUUGGUCGUGUGUCGGCAGUGUGUGGAUACGUCGUAUGACGAGCAGUUAAUAAUUACAAAAUUUAAUUAUUUUAUUACCACAAAUAUAAAUAAAAAUAACGUAAAAUUAUAAAAAAAAUAAUAAAAUAAUGAGUUACGGUCGUCCACCUCCCCGUAUUGACGGGAUGGUGUCUUUGAAAGUUGAUAAUUUAACUUACAGAACAACGCCGGAAGAUUUACGACGUGUGUUUGAAAGAUGUGGAGAAGUUGGUGAUAUUUAUAUUCCCCGUGACCGUUUUACACGCGAGAGUCGUGGUUUUGCAUUUGUCAGAUUUUAUGACAAACGUGACGCUGAAGAUGCACUUGACGCCAUGGACGGACGUCUUUUAGACGGAAGGGAACUUCGUGUACAAAUGGCACGUUAUGGAAGACCAACAUCACCUCACAGAAGCCGUGGAAGUCGUCGCAGAGGAAGAUCACGUAGCCGCAGCCGAGAUCGCAGACGAUCUCGAUCUAGAUCCCGGUCUAGGUCAAGAAGCCGCGACCGUGACCGCAGACGUUCUUACAGUCGUAGUCACAGUCGUUCCCGGUCAGACAGUAAAAGUUCACGAGGUAAAUCUCGUUCACGCAGUAAGUCUGCGGAAAGAGAAAAUAGCCGAUCAAAGUCUAGGGACUGAGAUGGCUGGCUUUGUAUGAAAGUACAACAGAAUGAGAUGCACGUGCCCUGAGUUUAAAAUGCAGUUUAUUCUGACAUUGAAAAAAUAUAAAAAGGCGGUGGAAAGGCGUGGAGUGGCGUGUCGAGUGAUGGGGGUAGCUGAGAGCGCUGAGAGUAUGCAGUAAGCCGAACUGUAAGCGGGGCUGUAUGCUGAGUUUGCUGUAUGCAGAGUUAGCGAGCUAAGCGGUUGGCGGUGUCUGGUGAUAACGAUGAUGAUGAUGGUGACGAUGACGAUGACGAUGACGAUGAAGCUCGAGAUUCGCGGUGAAAGUGAAAGGCGCUAAGCAGGGUUCCCGUUGCAUUAGUGAGUUUGAGUGAACGAACGCGCUCACUCUAUUGUGUUGUCAUACGGGUGGGUUUGGCCGAUUUAAAUUUUAGGAUCACGUACGAGAGAAAUAUUAUACGCCGUUAUAAUUAUGACGAAGGGGAUGACGAAAGCAAGAAACCGAGCCUAGAAGUGAACGAAAAAAAAAUAUGUAUAUAUGUUUAAUAGUCAACGAUUAUUGAUGUCGCAGUCGAGUUUGCUGACAUGGGAGACACUUUUUGCUGACGCCUCGUGGUAUGUCAGGUUUCCUGUUCAGGAUAUUUAUAUAGCCCAGUCAAAACUACAAAUAGGAAAAAUUCUAUAAAUUUGGUGCAAAUUUGAUUGAAGGAUGAUGUCACUCUCAAAAUGAAAAAGUCAUCAACUCAAGGGUUGGUAAGAGAAAAUAUAAAAUAAAAACACCUCCAAAAACAGAUUUUUCGCAAAUAUUUCAUAAACAAAAAAAAACUUUUAAACGAAGCUUGUAGAGAAAAAAAGUCACAUAAAAUAGGAUAUGAAAUUUUUUUUGUAUCUAUACAAAUUACACCUAAGGUAACGAACCCAGUGCCCGAUCAGGGAUUACUCACACAUUUACUAAGUAUACAUAUAAAAAUACAUGGAGUGAUCGGGUACUAAGUUUUUUAUCAUAAUAGUUUUGAAAUUUCCUAGCUUAAAUUUACUAAAUUUUCAUAAGGAUGCGCCACUGAAGUAUAAAAAAAAUGUGUGUCUAUAGCUGAACUGCUUACACCCCAUAGCGCAGCUAUAUAUACACAUUUUUUUCUACUUCAGUUGCGCAUCCUUAUAAAAAUUAAUCAAAUUUAAGCUUCAAAAUUUCGAAAAUUUAUCACGUGUUAUUUUUAUAGAUACAAAAAAAAUUUCUUAUACUUGUUUCUCUCUCCGUUUUGUUUAAAAAUUUUUUCUUCCUAAAAUAUAUGCGAAAAAUCUGUUUUUGAGGAUACUUUUAUUUUUUUUCUCAUGAACCCCUGGGGUGAUGACUUUUAUUUAAGGGUGUUAAUGAGUGACAUUGUAGACCUUUAACCAAAUUGGCAUCCUUUCGAAAAUGUCUCCUAUUUCCGAGUUUCAACUGGACUAAAUAAUCUUGCUCAGGACAUGACGUUGACUUGAGAGAGUUUAUUGCCGAUCCACUUGAAGCUGAUUCGAGUAUCUUCAGGUUCGGAUUCUUAGCUGUUUAAAUGCCAUCAUCUACCUCAACGUAAUGCCGUCACUGUGAAACCGUGAGUCUUUUAUCUCAAAUAUUCGGUUGUAUUUUUAUUUAUUUAAUUGCAAUUUAUUUUUUAUUUUUUUAUCAAUUUUUUUUCUUGAUUUAGUAUCUGUAUUUUUACGCGUGUACGAAAGUGGAGAUGCUUUAAUAAUUUUUUUUGUCGUAUUCGUUGGUAAAAUUAUAUAUAACGGAUUUUUAUAUAUUUGCUAUUUAUAAUACCUUGUUUUCAGAAUUAAUUACCCAAUUUUUGAUGUAAGUAUUGAUUUAUUUAGAUGCUAGAUUCUUAAUUAGUUUAUUUAUUUUUUUUAAAUUUAACAUAGACAGUAAAUUAACAACUGAUUAUCACUCGUGGUAUAAAUAAAUCUUUAUUAUUAAAUCAACAAAUGUUUUAUUAAUUUAUUAAUUAUAUUUAUCACCUAUUUACAGAUAUAUAUAUUCCUAUAUAUAUAUUUGUACUUUUUCAUACCCUAUAUAAAAAUGCUAAUUAGUCAAUAAAAUUUGAUUGGAUUUUAAAUAUUAAUUACUAAAAUUUUUAGUAUCAACAAUUAUAAUUAAUUGAUUGCUUCGUUUAAGUUUUAAACUUUUAAUUAAGUUUAUUUAUUAUUAAUUUUAAAUCUUACUAUCUAUUACGUAUUGGCAUUUGUAAGUUAUUUUGAGAAAACUAAAAUUCUAUCUAUGAAUUUUAAAAUUAAAACAUUUUUAAAAAAUUCUUAAUUAAAGAAAAAAAAAAAAAAUAAGAA